rnacentral:rRNA from 1 species
GACGAACGCUGGCGGCGUGCUUAACACAUGCAAGUCGAACGGAAAGGCCCUGCUUUUGUGGGGUGCUCGAGUGGCGAACGGGUGAGUAACACGUGAGUAACCUGCCCUUGACUUUGUGAUAACUUCAGGAAACUGGGGCUAAUACCGGAUAGGAGCUCCUGCUGCAUGGUGGGGGUUGGAAAGUUUCGGCGGUUGGGGAUGGACUCGCGGCUUAUCAGCUUGUUGGUGGGGUAGUGGCAUACCAACGCUUUGACGGGUAGCCGGCCUGGGAGGGUGACCGGCCACAUGGGGACUGAGAUACGGACCAGACUCCUACGGGAGGCAGCAGUGGGGAAUAUUGCACAAUGGGCGGAAGCCUGAUGAAGCAAUGCCGCGUGCGGGAUGAAGGCCUUCGGGUUGUAAACCGCUUUCGGCUGUGACGAAGCGCGAGUGACGGUAAUGGGUAAAGAAGCACCGGCUAACUACGUG